rnacentral:pre_miRNA from 1 species
AACAUACUCCUUCCGUCCCAAAAUUCUUGUCUUAGAUUUGUCUAAAUACGGAUGUAUCAAGUCACAUUUUAGUAUUAGGUACAUCCGUAUCUAGGUAAAUCUAAGACAAGAAUUUUGGGACGGAGGGAGUAUUGA